CUUGGUGAUGUAAGUUGUAGCUAAAGUAUAUGGAUCAGAGGGCUGCUUUGCUGGAAACACUUUCAGCUCGCUGGCCUCUGGUCAUCUUCAUUACUACUCCCAAGUUGUUUUCACUGGCCAUUGUUGACCUGUAAUCAACUGUGGUCCAAAAAUAUUAAAUGGAAAAAUCCGGAAGUAAACAAUUCAUGAUUUAAGUUGCAUGCUGUUCUGAGUAGCGUGAUGAAAUCUUGAGCUGUCCUGCACCCUCUGUCUUGCCCGUUCCCUAGUCCAGAGUAUCCAUACUGCAGAGCUGCAGGCACGCCCAGCCAUUAGUUCUUGACUUAAGGAAAGGAAAAUUGCAGGCUGAGGUUGCUAAGAUCUAUGGUAAGAAUGAAUCUUCUAUCCUGGAAAUCUCAAAAAAGGAAAAAAGAAAUUUGUGCUAGUUUUGUUGCCA
rnacentral:lncRNA from 1 species